GAUGAACGCUAGCGGGAGGCCUAACACAUGCAAGCCGAGCGGUAUUGUUUCUUCGGAAAUGAGAGAGCGGCGUACGGGUGCGUAACACGUGUGCAACCUGCCUUUAUCUGGGGGAUAGCCUUUCGAAAGGAAGAUUAAUACUCCAUAAUAUAUUGAACGGCAUCGUUUAAUAUUGAAAGCUCCGGCGGAUAGAGAUGGGCACGCGCAAGAUUAGCUAGUUGGUGAGGUGACGGCUCACCAAGGCGAUGAUCUUUAGGGGGCCUGAGAGGGUGAUCCCCCACACUGGUACUGAGACACGGACCAGACUCCUACGGGAGGCAGCAGUGAGGAAUAUUGGUCAAUGGGUGCAAGCCUGAACCAGCCAUCCCGCGUGAAGGACGACUGCCCUAUGGGUUGUAAACUUCUUUUGUAUAGGGAUAAACCUACCCUCGAGAGGGUAGCUGAAGGUACUAUACGAAUAAGCACCGGCUAACUCCGUG
rnacentral:rRNA from 1 species